rnacentral:rRNA from 1 species
UAGGGAAUCUUCCGCAAUGGGCGAAAGCCUGACGGAGCAACGCCGCGUGAGUGAUGAAGGUCUUCGGAUCGUAAAACUCUGUUAUUAGGGAAGAACAAAUGUGUAAGUAACUAUGCACGUCUUGACGGUACCUAAUCAGAAAGCCACGGCUAACUACGUGCCAGCAGCCGCGGUAAUACGUAGGUGGCAAGCGUUAUCCGGAAUUAUUGGGCGUAAAGCGCGCGUAGGCGGUGUUUUAAGUCUGAUGUGAAAGCCCACGGCUCACCCGUGGAGGGUCAUUGGAAACUGGAAAACUUGAGUGCAGAAGAGGAAAGAGGAAUUCCAUGUGUAGCGGUGAGAUGCGCAGAGAUGUGGAGGAACACCAGUGGAGAAGGCGACUUUCUGGUCUGUAACUGACGCUGAGGCUAGAAAGCGUGGGGAGCGAACAGG